UUACCCAGCACUGGAUGCUACAAGGCUCUAUGGUUGGGCUAAUGGCAGACCCUGGGAGGGCUCACACCAAGGAGCACUUCCCAGAACUUCUGCUGCCAGUGUCCUUGUCCCCAUGGUGACCAACAGCUGCCCCCCACCUCUGCAGGAGACACUCCGACACUAGCAGGGUGCCGCAUCCAGAGGCCUCGCACCUGGCCCUUCAGACCGGCGUUCCUGGUGCAGCACGGCUGCGCCGUCUCCUCAGCUCCAGGGCUCUGCGCAGAAACACUGCAACCAGCGCUCAGUUCAAGAUGGCGGCGGUGGCGGGCCGUGUGCAGAGCCGCUGCUCUCGGCGCUGCGAUCUGGAGGCGGAGCCGCAGCAGCUGCACCAGAUCCCACAAGAGCUCCGCCUCCUCCCCCACUGCCGAGAUCCCUAGAAAGCAGCCCCACCCACAGUCUUUACGGGAGAGCGUGUGCUCUGCAGCCGGAGCUCACACCUCUCUCUUCUUUGAUCAAAGAAUAAAACUCUUUUGCUUCCAAA